ensembl:lncRNA
AAACUGUUCUUUCUUCAAAAUAUCUUCUUUUAUUUCCCUCAAAAGAAAGUAAGUCAAAUAUGUUUGGAACAAUAUGAAUGUGAGUAAAUGACAGAAUUUUCCAUUAUUCUGUGGGUGAACUAUCCCUUUAAUCAUACUACUAUAACUGAAUAUGCUCACAAACGUUCUGGUACUGUUUUAGCACUUAGUACAAGAUGGAGCAAGAGGGAGAAUAUUAUUCCAGGGUGUUUUGGCACCAGAGGACAGCUCUGUGAAAGGUUACCCAGGUGGUCUUUCCUCAACUCCUCCGUCUCUCCCCCAGCGGAAUGUCAGUUUCAAUUCCCUGGCUCAAUUCCCCAGUCCCUUACCCAAAUCAUCAUGUGAACCUCAGAUUGCUUAAAUAUGGACCCGUGAAUCUGAUACUCUGUUGGGUUUUGAGUCUUGACGGAGGUGCUGAGAGCCGGCUGAUGAGGGGGCCCAGCCGUCCGCCAUAUUGCCGCCCAGUAUGCCGUGUCAUGUUCUCUGAACAAUCGCCCGUGUCCUUCUAGUUGGGUAAACAACGGAGGCUGUCAGCCGGUGUCAGGUUUGGGCUUUUCAAAGCAAAAGAAGGAGAAUGACAGAUGACUGCUCUGAGUGCAGCCGACACUUUGCUGAUAAUGGUGAUCUGAGUGCUGAUACGGAGAGGCAGAGUGCGAUGGGCGAGCGAGAUAUACCCGGUAAAACAUACAGAACCCACAGUUUUGACAAACACACUGCUGGGAAAGACUGCGAGGUGCUUUCAGUGAGAUUCCCCGGCUCGCUUGAUUCUCUGAUUCAUCCGUGGCGGAAUUUGACAUGUGUUGAGGUUGAAUCACAUCCACAAUUGUUCCAAUGUCAGGACUGUAUUGUAAAAACUACUGUGAAUAUUCUGGUGGGAAUUCAAUUUUCUGAAGAAGAGAAAAAACAGUUAAUGAUAGAAAAUCUGGUCAGUGUCAGCUCUGAGAUGCACAGAUGAAGUGAUCAUAUUUAAUGUCAGCCGUUCAGAUUCCUUGGUGUAAAUCAGCUGACCCUUUCACAAAAUGCUUGAUGAAUUAAGCUCCACAGAACACUUUCAUUAAAUUGAACUCAAAGUAAUCUGUUCAGGGUUCAUGGGGUUGACAAGCCACAAAAAAACAACAUGUCUGACACGGCCGGCACGAGCGUACCUGUAACCAGAGCCGAGGGACCGUGGCGUGCCAAAACUCGGCAACCCUCACGCUGAGAAAGAGUCCAGUUAGACCGGAUCUCCACCCCACACAUCAGCUCUCCUCACCCCUCGAGUGCUGGCCAGGCCUGCACAGUGGGGUGCCUCCAUCUGGACAAAUUCUACCCUGACAGGAGACAUGGCUGCAUUAAAGAACGUAUUCACAUACGGCCCACUCAGGACUGUCACUGCUGGAGACGGAGAGCAGACUGGAGGAGAGAGAGAGAGAGAAAGAGAGAGAGAGAGAGAAAUCUGUGAUUUCGCUUGAGCACUACAGAACUCUCAUUCUAUAGCCCAUCUGUCAACCAUUAUGGACCUGGGCCCUUUAGCUCCUCCUUCACAUGGAAUGUACAGAGAGGAUUUUUUCUGUUUAAAAUAAAAAGGCUGCACAUUAGGCA